AACGAACGCUGGCGGCAUGCCUAACACAUGCAAGUCGAACGAGACCUUCGGGUCUAGUGGCGCACGGGUGCGUAACGCGUGGGAACCUGCCCUUAGGUUCGGAAUAACUCCCCGAAAGGGGUGCUAAUACCGGAUAAUGUCUUCGGACCAAAGAUUUAUCGCCUUUGGAUGGGCCCGCGUUGGAUUAGCUAGUUGGUAGGGUAAAAGCCUACCAAGGCGACGAUCCAUAGCUGGUCCGAGAGGAUGAUCAGCCACACUGGGACUGAGACACGGCCCAGACUCCUACGGGAGGCAGCAGUGGGGAAUAUUGGACAAUGGGCGAAAGCCUGAUCCAGCAAUGCCGCGUGAGUUAUGAAGGCCUUAGGGUUGUAAAGCUCUUUUACCCGGGAUGAUAAUGACAGUACCGGGAGAAUAAGCUCCGGCUAACUCCGUG
rnacentral:rRNA from 1 species